rnacentral:rRNA from 1 species
CACGUAGGGUGCGAGCGUUGUCCGGAAUUAUUGGGCGUAAAGAGCUCGUAGGCGGUGUGUCGCGUCGGCCGUGAAAACCUGGGGCUUAAUUCUGGGCGUGCGGUCGAUACGGGCAUCACUGGAGUUCGGCAGGGGAGACUGGAAUUCCUGGUGUAGCGGUGAAAUGCGCAGAUAUCAGGAGGAACACCGGUGGCGAAGGCGGGUCUCUGGGCCGAUACUGACGCUGAGGAGCGAAAGCGUGGGGAGCGAACAGG